GCACACUGUGGUGAGGCUGAUAUUAUCAAAAUAUGGGUUAAUAUUUGCGUUGAUAAACUCAGCAGAUGGUUGCUCACUUAUGCCUUGUGUACUGCUCAGUAUAUGUCUAAACACACAAGUGUGUUAUAUCUUAGUUGUAGAAUAGGUAGGGAUAUUUAUAUAAAUUUUCAUGUUUCACACAUUUGAGUUAGCUAGCUAGCGAUAGAUUAGUUAUGCCAGUUGUUAAUUGAUGGAGUAGUACACAUGUAUAUAAAUAGGAACUUGUACAGAUACAAUUUCAGUUUUGGAAAAGAAUACAAUUUCUCAUUUUGCAAUAUUUCUCUCUCUAAUUUUCACAUGGUAUCAGAGCACAUGCUCUUUUUGUCCAGAUUCUUCUAGAGUUUUCCAUACUACUCAAGGUUCUUUGUCACUUUUCCAAACCUCAGCACUUCGAUCAUGGUUCUGGGGGAAGAUAUUUCAGAUUCUGGACUUUCUGCUUCUGCUACAAUGGAGAAGAUCAAUAAUCUUCACCCAUAUUAUCUUCAUGCUUCAGAUUCACCAGGUAUGGCAUUGGUUUUCAGUGCUUUUGAUGGAACUAGAUAUGGCUCAUGGAGAAAAUCUGCAUUAGUGUCACUAUCUACUAAGAAUAAGCUUGGUUUCAUUGAUGAAACUUUGCCAAAACCAAAAUAGAAUUCUACUUUUGUUAGCCUUUGGACUCGUUUGUAAUGACAUGAUUUUUGCUUGGCUGCUGAAUUCACUUAUAAAAGAAAUCAGAUCCAGUGUGAUCCACUCUAAAUAUGCACAUGAAUUAUGGAAAAAACUUGAGAAGAGAUAUGGACAAUUGAAUCUGGCACAACUAUCUAAAUUACAUAAAAAAAUUAGUAGAAACUGUGCAAGGAUCAAAUAACAUUGCAACCUAUUUCAAUAAUAUGAAAGCAAUUUGGGAUGAAAUUGAGCUACUUGAUGAUAGGGUUGUAUGCAGCUGUGCAGAGUAUAAAUAUGGUGCAUCGGAGAAAAACAAUGCACUUGAAGAGAGACACAAGUUAGUUCAAUUUCUAAUGGGACUGAAUGAAUCAUACACUGCUUGUAGAGGAAAUAUAAUGAUGAUGAAUCAUUCACCAAAUAGUGAUAGAGCUUACUUUCUUCUAUUACAAGAGGAAAAGCAGAGAAGCAUACAACCUUUGGGAAAUUAUCCUAAAUAUUCAAGCUCUGUUACUAUUAUUGGGCAGAAUGCUAGUCAAGGACAUUAUAGGUUUAACAAUAAUCAAGGAAGCACAACCAAUGGACUAAAAAUAAUCAGAUUCAACAUCAGGAUUAUAAGAAGAAUAAUUCUACCAAUCUCAUUUGCUGAUAUUGUAAGAAGCCAUGACAUACCAUUGAGAAGUGUUACAAGAUUCAUGGCCAUGCCCUCAAUUUUAAAAAUAGCAGACCUAGAUCUUUUAACAAUCAUGCACACAACAAUGCAACUAGUACUCAGGAAGAUACUCAGUCACAAGCUAGUGAUGUUAGUAUAGGUAUUAAGCAUGAACAACUCACUCAGCUAAUGAAGUUACUACAACAAGUUAAAUUUGGACAGUAGGGACCUUCCAGUUUCGAAGCCAAUGCAGCAGCUAAUGUGCUGGUAUACACUCCCCUUCUCUUCCACUCAUCACAUAUAAAACACAUUUUUAGAUCCUAGAUAUUGGAGCCUUAGAACACAUCAAAAGCAUGACUUUUGAUGCAUCCAUUGUACUUAAUGUUGAACCUCUACCACAUCUUCUCUAUGUUAAUCUACCUAACUCUUACAGGAUCAAAGUCACACAUGCAGGAAAAUUUCCUAUUCAGCCAAAAUUAACUCUAAAUAAAGAUUUACUAGUUUCAAGUUUCAAAUUCAAUCUAAUCUCAAUAUAGAAAUUUUUUUUACUGUUCAAUAGCCUUUUCAUGUUUGGUGCCAUUUCAUGUGUGUUACAGGGCCUUUCCUUUAAGAGGCCUCUGGCUCCUGGUAGAGUGAAGAAUGGACUCUACCUUAUUCAAUCCUUCCAUCCUCAUGCUGAUUCUUUGCACCAAAGCAAACCAUUGUUAACCAUUUCGAAUAAUUGUACUCAGUUCAUUGUUAAUUCUUUGUCUAGUUGUUCUACUAAUGUUUAUAAUUCUGCUGACUCUUG
rnacentral:lncRNA from 1 species